UUGGUCUUGGCAGCACAUAUGCUAAAAUUGGAACGAUACAGAAAAGAUGAGCAUGGCCCCUGUGCAAGGAUGACACACAAAUUCGUGAAGUAUCCCAAAAUUAG
rnacentral:snRNA from 1 species